rnacentral:rRNA from 1 species
AUGCUCUCAGAAAUUAAUAAUUCGCUGUCAAUAGAAAAAAAUGAGCAGGCCGAAUCUGGCUGGCCCAAAAGUGCAGGGGGGGCUCGGGUGUUGCCUCACCCAUGGUCCUCGGCCCGGUCGGAUCUGGAGGUGGGCCUUGGCGGGGCUGGGCCGACGCGCUACUACAUCUGGCAGUGGCUAGGCUUCGUAGACUUGAGUCAAUGGGCGCUGCUGGAGCUGGGCUUCAUGCGAGGCAGGCAGUCGACGCAGCAGCUCCUAUCGUUCAACGCAGGGAAACAGGGGAGCAGCCGUAGGAUGACAUGGCACGGCGGCUCGCCGGUGGUCUUCGGCGAGGGCAGAGGUGCCGCUGAAGGUGGCCGGAGGAAGCGGAUCCGGGCGGCGAGGUAG